rnacentral:rRNA from 1 species
GGUGUCAGCGGCAGACGGGUGAGUAACACGUGGGAACGUACCCUUCGGUUCGGAAUAACGCUGGGAAACUAGCGCUAAUACCGGAUACGCCCUUUUGGGGAAAGGUUUACUGCCGAAGGAUCGGCCCGCGUCUGAUUAGCUAGUUGGUGGGGUAACGGCCUACCAAGGCGACGAUCAGUAGCUGGUCUGAGAGGAUGAUCAGCCACACUGGGACUG